rnacentral:rRNA from 1 species
AGAGUUUGAUCAUGGCUCAGAUUGAACGCUGGCGGCAUGCUUUACACAUGCAAGUCGAGCGGCAGCGCGGGGGCAACCCUGGCGGCGAGCGGCGGACGGGUGAGCAAUACAUCGGAACGUGUCCCGUAGUGGGGGAUAACCCGGCGAAAGCCGGACUAAUACCGCAUAUGCUCUACGGAGGAAAGUGGGGGACCCGCAAGGCCUCACGCCAUGGGAGCGGCCGAUGUCCGAUUAGCUUGUUGGCGGGGGUAAAGGCCCACCAAGGCGACGAUCGGUAGCUGGUCUGAGAGGAUGAUCAGCCACACUGGGACUGAGACACGGCCCAGACUCCUACGGGAGGCAGCAGUGGGGAAUUUUGGACAAUGGGGGCAACCCUGAUCCAGCCAUGCCGCGUGCGGGAAGAAGGCCUUCGGGUUGUAAACCGCUUUUGUCCGGGAAGAAAAGGCAUUCCCUAAUACGGGGUGCUCUUGACGGUACUGGAAGAAUAAGCACCGGCUAACUACGUGCCAGCAGCCGCGGUAAUACGUAGGGUGCGAGCGUUAAUCGGAAUUACUGGGCGUAAAGCGUGCGUAGGCGGUUCGUCAAGUCUGAUGUGAAAGCCCCGGGCUCAACCUGGGAACUGCAUUGGAAACUAGCGAGCUUGAGUGUGGCAGAGGGGGGUGGAAUUCCCGUGUAGCAGUGAAAUGCGUAGAGAUGUGGAGGAACACCGAUGGCGAAGGCAGCCCCCUGGGCUAACACUGACGCUCAGGCACGAAAGCGUGGGGAGCAAACAGGAUUAGAUACCCUAGUAGUCC